rnacentral:ncRNA from 2 species
CUCUUAUCCAGAGAGGCGGAGGGACAGGCCCUGUGAAGCCCGGCAACCUGCAAUAUUUAUUGUAAAGGUGCCAAAUCCUGCAGACAGAAGAUCUGGAAGAUAAGAG